UUAAUAGUAUAAUCUGCUCAAUGAUAAUAAAUAGCCGCAAUUAGUGCUAAGGUAGCAUAAUAAUUUGUCUUCUAAAUAAAGACUAGAACAAAAGAUUUAACAUUUCAUUAAAUUUCUUUAUUUUAAUAACUUUAAAUUAUACUAAAUGUAAAAAUACAUUUAUUAAAAAGAAAGACGAUAAGACCCUGUUGAACUUAACUUAAGUUAAACUGGGGAAGUAAAUUAAUUAUUAUUUUAAUAUAAGUAAAAUUAAAAAAAUCUAAUACAAUUAAUUAUUCAGUUACCACAGGGAUAACAGCAUAAUUUAUUUUAAAAGACCUUAUAAAAAUAUUAAGUUAUGACCUCGAUGUUGAAUUAAUAACCUAAUUAAAGCAAAAAUUAAAAAAGGAAGUCUGUUCGACUUUUAAAAAAUUACAUGAUUUGAGUUCAGACCGGUGUAAGCCAGGUCGGUUUCUAUCUUCUAUAAAAAAUAUUACAGUACGAAAGGACCUAAUAAUAUUUUAUAAUAUUGGCAGAUAAAUGCAUUAGAAUUAGAAUCUAAUUAAACUUUA
rnacentral:rRNA from 1 species